UCAUAGAGAACAAAUGGCAAGCACCCAGGAGGAAGCACAAUCGUUGUACAAUCGUUGUCUCAGGCAGUUUCCCACCGCUCCUCCUGGAUCUCUGCAUUGUCUUCACCAAGUUCAAGACGCCAAGCAGCUCGUGCUCCAGAGGGGAGUCCCAGAAGCCGCUACCCCACUAGGGCCACCUCAGUCGAUCAACAAUUAAGCUGGCAUACAUACAGCACGUGUCAGUCCUGCUUCCUCCACCGAAGAGAAAAAACGGGAGUCAAGUACAUUGUAACCUGGCAACCACGCUUGGAACCACGCCACUGGCUGAGCCCAGAAACUAUGACCCUAACUUCGGAGCGGCCUGCUGUGUCCACAGUAGUGACGGGAAGGGACGAGGCAGAACCAGGUCCCAUUGAGCUGAGCCAGGGUUGGAAGACCUGGUUCCACCCCCCUGCCCCUGCUGCUUCUGUUCACUGUUCGCUCUUGGCACAGGUGCAGAAACGGGCCCAGGCAGCAGGGGUCAAAGACUCUGCUUGAGGCCCCGGAAGGUACAGUGUCAGGUAGGAAGUCAGCAGGGUUGGUGGCCCUGCUGUCCAGGCCUGGGGAGGGACCACGAGCCAGGCUAAGUGGAGCAUGGAGCGUUUAAUGGAGGCAGCUCAGCUAAUCAGAGGAUCCGAGAAAGAAGCCAGACAUGAGCCAAUUAAAAUGCCAGCCGCUGUGAGUUCCU
rnacentral:lncRNA from 1 species